rnacentral:rRNA from 1 species
UACGGAAGGGGGCUAGCGUUGCUCGGAAUUACUGGGCGUAAAGCGCACGUAGGCGGGUCGCUAAGUCGGGGUGAAAUCCUGGAGCUCAACUCCAGAACUGCCUUCGAAACUGACGAUCUUGAGUUCGGGAGAGGUGAGUGGAACUGCGAGUGUAGAGGUGAAAUUCGUAGAUAUUCGCAAGAACACCAGUGGCGAAGGCGGCUCACUGGCCCGAUACUGACGCUGAGGUGCGAAAGCGUGGGGAGCA